rnacentral:rRNA from 1 species
UACGGAGGGUGCAAGCGUUAUCCGGAUUUACUGGGUUUAAAGGGUGCGUAGGUGGGUCUGUAAGUCAGUGGUGAAAUCUCCGGGCUUAACCCGGAAACUGCCAUUGAUACUAUAGGUCUUGAAUUAUCUGGAGGUAAGCGGAAUAUGUCAUGUAGCGGUGAAAUGCUUAGAUAUGACAUAGAACACCAAUUGCGAAGGCAGCUUACUACGGAUACAUUGACACUGAGGCACGAAAGCGUGGGGAUCAAAACAGG